CGAGGCGCGCACCACGCGGCCCCUUCCUCCAGGCAUUCGCACCACCCCCCACUCCCGUUGCAUGCUGGGAUUGUAGUUGAUCGCCUGCGAUCAACGGCCGGAAGCGGCUAAAACUACUCCUGCCUGCAUACCCCGCAGGAGCAAACCGCGCCAUGUCUCCCUCCAGGGAUCCGCACCGCUCACAAUCCUGUUUAGUGCUGGGAUUGUAGUCCUGCGAGCCUACGACUAAUAGCUGGAUUAACUCUUAAGUACUCCACAACUACACGCUUUUGAAACUGGCGUUGGCAUAGCGUUAGUUCUGUGCAGGGCGGACGCAGCAGGACAGAAUCUCCCUGGGCAUCUUUUCGGAGCAUCAAUUUUACUGCAAAAUUUUGAAAAAACAAAUUUAAUUGAUUUCCAAGGUUUGUCAAGGAGGACAGAAACUCAGAGCACCCUGCACUUGGGGAUCGGCACUAGGAGCUGCUCUCUGGAUGGGGAGAUGGGAGCUAGCAGCUCACAAUGGGGUCACAAGACAUCUGAAAAUACUCAGAAGUUACAAGAAUUCAUAAAAUACCCACCAAAGCUAAUAGAAAACAUGGAACCUUCCAGGACAAGAAGUAAAUUAAAAGAACAACCCAGAGGAGUAAUCAAAGUGAGAAGCCAGUGCCGCCUCCAGGUACUGGAUGAUCACAGGGACCUCAGGCUUUGGGGAUUAUUCAACUACCUUCUUGGAAUAAACAACAAAAAAAGUAC
rnacentral:lncRNA from 1 species